ensembl:lncRNA
GGGACGUGUGGUUGGGGCAGAAGACUCACUUUUUGGCAUCCAAUUCUCCACACGCCGAAAAUCAGCAGGAGUGGAGCCUCCAGCUCAGAUGCAAGGGGAGCCUGAGGUGUCGGCUGGCUUCUGUCUCUCCUUCUUCUAUCGUGAAAGCAGGGGGUGGCUGCUUCUGGUCUCCUCUCCAACACUGGAUGUUGCCACUGGAAAACAUCUUUGCCAACCCAGCCGAUGAGGAAAUAACCACCCUGUGUUUGUUCUACGCGCGGCUCUGGUUGCCGGAGAGGAGGGAGCGCUGCCUUGCACACUGAGAGUCCCCUGGCUCUCUUUGCUGCCUUGUCUGUCUGCGGAGCAGCCGGUUUGCUUGGGGGCCUUCCCUGCACUGCCCGGCCUCCGAAGCCGCGCUUGGGGAGGAGCGCCGUGUUCACUGGGUUGUGUGGGACCUCGGCACCCUGGAUAACGCACGCCCAGGGCCGCCAGCGGAGGCGGACACUCUUCAGUGACCAUCUCGGGUGGCAUUGGGAGCAGGCGAAGGGGCCUCUGGCUCCCUGACCACGCUGCCCAGGACCCACGAGGAUGUUUCCCAGCACAGCGAUCAGGCCCAGCAGUUGGGAGAACUUUCAGAGACGCCCAGCAGCCCCUCCGGAACGCUCGAGUCAGCCCUCCUGGUAAACGGAGUGUGAAGACGCAAUCCGCCGGCCCUCUGCUGUGCUGGGCUGAUGUAAGCAGGCGCUGAUUUAUGCCUGCCAGCCCAAACAAACAUCCCUGUGGGCCAUCGAGCUGGGAUCUCCUUGUGCUUCUGCAGGGCUUUUAGUUCUCUUGACAGAGGGAAGCAGCACAUUUACGUCAUGGAAGGAGGAGUGGCGAGUGAGAUGCAAGCUGGAGGAUGAGGAUGACAGCGGCCUGGGGCAGCCGUGGGGCCUGGUCCCUCUGCAGACAGGGCCAGCCCGGAGCAGGCAGCGGGGCCCACAUCUGGGUUGGAGACGACUCCCACGGCAUCUUGAGGGUGGCAGUGCUCAGUGGGCCCCUCUAGCCCCAUUCCAGAGCUGGGCAGAUGGAGGCAGCAGGGAUCUAUUCUCUGCCUUCUCCUCCAUCCCCUUAAGUUCUAAAAUUCAGAUCUGGCCAGGCAUAGUGGCACCUGCCGGUAAUCUCAGCACUCUGGCAGGCUGAGGCAGGAGGACCCCAAGUUUCAGUCCAGCCUGAGGAACUUAGCAACUUAUCGAGACCCUGUCUCAAAGCAAAAAAUAAUAAAAGGGUUGCAGGAACGGCUCUGUUCCAAGGCCCUGGGUUCCGUCCCCAGUACCUCAGGUCUGCACGAGCCUGCUUUGUCCUGGGGGAGAAAGUGUCUGACGAGGUGGGAGCCUGGUUUCCAGCUCCCGAGCCCUCUUCCCUCCUCUCCCUGCUCUCCCCACACAACAUCCUCCUGGUGCUCACCAGCUCCCCCAGGUGCCCUGUCCCAGCUCUCCUGUCCUGAGGCCUUGGGUCCUGUGGGUCUCCCCAACACCAAGGGGCCAGCUGCAUCCUCUGCUCUGAACUUAGAAGUAGGAGGUGACUCGCUCCAGCCACGGCAUGAGGCAGAAGUGACAGCAGCUCAGGGUGCACAAGCUGAGGCCUGCGCAUCUGUAUGGAGAGGGGACAAGCCCAGGCAGCCCCCUGGGUGCACAUGGAAGAGGACAGGUGGAGUCUGGGUCAGCUGACUCCCAGCCUGGCCUUUGCACACGCUGCCUGUCCGUCUGGACAGCUCCUCUCCCUCCUUCCUGAGUCCCACGGGCCCCAGGCUGGACUCUGGCCUCUACAGCUAUCCCCGGCCUCUGGUCUAGGUUAGGGUGCUCCAGGCCUCCCUGUCCUUAGGGCUCCCUUAGCCGCCUGCCUCAAGAGGGCCGUGGCUGCCUACACAGUGUCCCCCAAGAAGGUGGCUCCACACGCACACAGCAGGCCCACAGCUGAGUCUUGGGAAGGCAGCACAGCAGGAGCGACAUCGGCUGCAAGCCACUUCCUGCAUGUCCUUUAGGCCAGGCUGCUCCCAGCGGACUCCUGGGCUUUAAGAGAGGCCUGGCCUGGCCUCACUGGCGGAGGAGGAUGCGCCUGCCCAUUUCCCGAGGCCAGGGUGGGAGGAGCAUGCGGGUAAAACUGGGGACUCUUCCCAGCUCAGCAGUUUGGGAGGUCAAGGGUCCACUCUGGCCUGGUCUGACCUUGUUUCAACCACAUUUGCAAAGACAGCUUCCAAAUAAGUUCGCUUCCCAGGUACCGGGGUGGGGCCUCGGGACUUCUCCGGAGCAUCUUAGUCUGAGUUCUUCCAGAGGGCCGUAGGUGCGGCUUUUCUGGAAAGAAUUAUAAUUAUAGGCAUCAGAAGCCUAAACAUGCAAGUAGCUCUUGGUCCAAAUGUGAUUUCCGAUGCAUUAAUCUAAGGGAAAAGAUGACAUAUGCAUGCAAAGAUCUCAGUGCAAAAUGGCUCAGAGGGGUGCUAUUUUACAAAUGCUCAAAAACAACAGAUCCCAUGACAAAACGGGCUUUCUAACAUUUAGAAAUGUCCAAAUAAGACAGUUGGUUAAAUGUGGAGUCGGUUUGUCUUUCAGACCAGGGGCUGGGAAACCUCCCCCGUGAGAAGCAGGAAGUAAAUAUUCAGGCUCCGCAGGCCAUGCAGCUUCACCUCCGCCGCCCGCCUCUGCAGGACCCUGACAGCCGCUGCAGACCAGACGUGCAUGGCAGCUGGUGGCAUUUCAGUGAAACCUUAUUUACCUGAACAGCACUGCCAGCUCCCGUGCAAGGGCAAAGAGCAGUAGACUGCUGGACACAGCAGAGCGGGGACCUCAGUGUCCCGCAGCCUGUGCUGGGGCUGUCUGGGUCGGCCCUCCCCCAGGGCACAGGUGUAAGUGCACCCCGAAACAUCCCUAGGGGAUGAGAGGAGAGGAAGCCAGAACAGGAGAGGCCACCCCGGGACUGCGCUGGCCAGCCUCUGCUCCCUCCCAGGGGAGAAGCCCGGUCCUGGGCCGUGCCUCCCUCUCCUGGGGUGAUGGGGUUUCUGGGGUCGGGACUGCUCCUUUUACCCCAGGUCCCAGGAAAGCCUGAUGUCUGCAUCCUCACGGAGCUACUGUUCUCACGAGAAAACCAGUAAAAAUACACAAAUGAUGUCAUGGCAGGAAAGGGACCUCGUCUCAAAUCCGUAUGUGAAGUCCAGCUCUGCUCAGCACUCAAUUCAUAAAGCAGGGCAUGAGGGAGGAGAGAGCUGGGUAUCUGCAUCUGCGUUUGCACUUGGCAGGACACAAACUGAGUUGUGAAUGUGUUCGGGGUUCCUUUCUUGGACCUGUGCAGCUCAGACUUCUGCACGGCUCAAAGUCUGCCCUGGCCCUGGAACUGCCACCUUGCCUCCAGAUUGUUCCAGAGCCCCACUGCAGCCUGUUCAAAAGGCUCCAGCUGCUAUCAGGAAAUAGCUCAGGAAGGUCUCCAUUAGACACAAGAAACUGAGAUGCAAUCAGCAGGCCUGGAAUGCAGCGCGGUGUGGAGUUGGUGACCAAGGAGUAGCUCAGACGAGAG